GGAAAAUGCUGAGUAAAGAGAUAAAGUAAAAACACAGCAAGAGCAGUUUAGACAGACACCCGUCAUUGCGGCCCAAAAUGAGAGCCAUGCUGCUCGACUGGCUCAUGGAGGACUGAAGUGGGAGGCCAUUGAGACCUGUGUGAACUGGAUGGCUCCUUUCGUGGAGUCCAUGAUGUGUUAUGAGAGCGCACGGCUAAGAGAAUUUGGCCAAGUGACUUCUGAGGAAAGACACAACAUUCAAACACAUGUGGACUACCUCUGCAUGCUGAAAGAGGCUCAGGAGAAGCAGUCAAAAAGCCUGGAGCCCUUCUUCCCACCAACACCACCCAGCAGCGCUGAGAAACCCAGCUAACACUAGUGUUCAUUCAGUAGGAUCAGUGAACUGUGAUUUUUACUGUCACUCUAGCUCUAGACUUCAUCUCAAGCUCAGGUCAUUCAACAUAAUAUGUGCACAGGUAACUGCUAUUUAAGUAGCAAAAUAGACUUCAAAAAGCAACACUGUUUUAUAUUCUGAAUAGGCAUUCCCUGUGAUUAUUAUGGUUCUUAUACUUAAAAAUAUAGUGCA